AGGUCCGAAGAAGAAUGACCUCUGCGCUGCCUUGCAAGAUUGCCUAAUAGACAACGGCAUAGGCAGUAGCACAGGUGAUGCCAGAAAAACUGCCUGUCACUUUUUGGGCAAAGAUGGUCGAGUUUUCCAUUGCUUCCUUUUGAGAGAGGCACUGAGAUUACUUGGAAGACGUCCAGAUGUGUGUAGGUCAAAGGCACUGACRACCAUUGGUCUCCUAAAAAUGCCAGGCACGAGACUUUCAGGCAAUGCACAUGCGAAAGGAAGGCCAAACACCUCGAUGUCAACAGAUCAUGUAUGUAUACGCAAUAGGUAUGGAACAACAACAGCAACAAACAGCCAGUAAGAAAGCUUAAAAGGAUUUAUAUGAGCUUUAUUGGUAUAGCCUCGCUAUAUUUGGGUAUAUAUACAAACAGAUGUCUUUAUAACUACAGACUCUCUUCACUGAAUUGUGCACUGAGGACAAAACAGCAAAUAAUGAAAAAGAAUGGCAGAGUAGAAGCACGUUUCCUGUUACUGAGCACGGGAGAAGUUUUCAAUUUCUUCCUUCAUUUCCUAAAAAAGAUUAAAAAAGAUAAAAAAGGAAAAAAGAAAAAAGGAAGAAAGGACUUGCCAGUAGAGAGGGGUGUACUGGACUCUGCAGGCACUGCUGGCCAUGUCUCAUCCCCUUGCUCCUCGAGCUGCCUCUCUUCCUCCUCUGUCAGCGGUCGAGGCUCAGUUGGUGAUGCCGCAGGCAGGAGGACUUCCCGUGCCUGACAAGCUUCAGUCAACCAGAAAAGGUUAGCCAAGUGAUGAUACUCAGACACAAGCACAGUAAACCUUCAUGCCAGGAAAUCUAUUACCAAAGCAAAURCCGAAUGGCUGCUAAGCUAGAGAUAGCAACGCUGUGUUUGUAGAAUAGCUUCACCUGCUUUCUUUUGUGGUGCAGCAGGCUUAGCAGCUUGCUGGACAAGCAAGUCCUCGAAAAACUUUCUUCCUUCCUCCUCGCUAGGUGACUGGACAUUGAAAACUUCUCCAUAAAGCUCAGAAAAUAAAGCUYGUACCUGAGGUGGGAGGAGAAAAGAC
rnacentral:lncRNA from 1 species